rnacentral:rRNA from 1 species
AGGACUAACGCUGGCGGCGUGCCUAACACAUGCAAGUCGAACGAGGGGUAGCAAUACCCCUAGUGGCAGACGGGUGAGUAACACGUAGUCAACCUACCUCUUAAUGGGGGAUAACUAGCCGAAAGGUUAGCUAAUACCGCAUACGAUCGUCGAGUGGCAUCACACGACGAUGAAAGGAGCAAUCCGUUGAGAGAGGGGACUGCGUCCCAUUAGUUAGUUGGUGGGGUAAUGGCCUACCAAGACUCCGAUGGGUAGCUGGCUUGAGAGAGCGACCAGCCACACUGGAACUGAGACACGGGUCCAGACUCCUACGGGAGGCAGCAGUGAGGAAUUUUCCGCAAUGGGGGAAACCCUGACGGAGCGACGCCGCGUGUGGGAAGAAGGCCUUCGGGUCGUAACCACUGUCGAGGGGACGAUAUUGACGGUACCCCUGGAGGAGCCCCGGCCAACUACGUGCCAGCAGCCGC